rnacentral:rRNA from 1 species
GACAGAGGUGCCAAGCGUUAGGCGGAAUCACUGGGCUUAAAGCGUGUGUAGGCGGGCGAUCAAGUACCUUGUGAAAUCCCACGGCUCAACCGUGGAACUGCUGGGUAUACUGGUUGUCUUGAGCCAGCUAGGGGCGAGCGGAACAGACGGUGGAGCGGUGAAAUGCGCAGAUAUCAGGAAGAACACCCGUGGCUAAGGCGGCUCUCUAGUACGGUACUGACGCUGAGACGCGAAAGCGUGGGGAGCGAACAGG